rnacentral:piRNA from 1 species
UAUCUGAAUGACCCCGAAGUCUAUGCAAAGA